rnacentral:lncRNA from 1 species
AGGACUGGUGCCUCACACCGUCCAACAUAAAGUUAGGAAAGCUACUUAAUACUCUUGCACAUUCAGCUUUUAGAUGCAAGCAUGUAGACUCUUCAUUUGGCUUCACUGUAAGUUUCAACAGUGAAGAAAUAUGCCCUGACAACCACGUGAAGCUAGAAGAAACUCUACACAACCCUAAUUCUACAGUGUUGUCAAAUGAAAUCAAUAAAUCAUCCUUUCAUUGAAAGAUUACCCACUGGAAUCCAGCCCAAGAGAACUGUAGAUGAGAAAGCUUCCUAAUCUUCAGCCAUCCACCCAAAUCUGAUGUUGACCUUACACUUCCUAAAGUCGGAGCAAUGAUUUCCACAUCUUAGGGACCUUAAGCCUUGAGGUUACUUUCUAUAAAUUACAAGUGUGGCUGGCUGUUUCAGAGGCUGAAGAAAUCAAGAAGGAACUCUUUCUGGUGAUCCACUCUACUGAGGGUCAGCUUUUGGCCUUUUCUUGGUUCAUCCAUAAUGCCAAGUCAUGGAAAAUCUUGCCCAAUCUGCUUUCCCAGGCUGCUUCUUACCACAUCAAAUAGAAAACUAAAUGUGUCUAAAAGAAAUCUUGCCUCACUGGCAGCUUUCUGCUUGAUGUGACUCUUGCACGAACUCUGAGGUCUCCUAAUACAGUGCUUCCAUCUGCUAUUGAUCUUCCUCCAUGAACAAGGCAUCGAGUGAACAUACUUGACCUUCUCUAAAGUCCACCGUGGCCUGUAGAGCUCACCCUCCAAAUUAGUGACCGAUGGAACAUUUCUGAAAGUAUCAGUCAGCCUGAAUCCUCCUG